CACUGAUUUUAUAGUAAUACUGGCAUCACAAACAAUUCAUAAGUUCCUUAGGUUUUUUGCUUCAGUAAGAACACAAACUCACAUUGUUCUAUUUUUAUCCAAUCACAGAUAAGGAUACAGAUCCCACAUGGCCCUAAGGAGUUUACCAGUUCCCCCCUCCCCUUUAUUCUUCGCAUAGGAACGGUUAAUGGGGCCAAAUAAAUUCAUGGUUCCGGUACCCCGUCUAACCCCUGGGCCAUAGGCGGCUGCCUAGUGUUACCUUAUAGUUAACUCUGCUCUGUCCAAUCCCCAAUCUGAUACCAGAAUAGCUUCAUGUUGCCCUUAUAGGAUGGUCCUACAG